rnacentral:rRNA from 1 species
AGUGAGAAUGCCGGAAUGAGUAGCGAGAAUUAUGUGAGAAUCAUAAUGGCCGAAAGACUAAGGUUUUAGAAGGAAGGUUCGUCCGCUUCUAGUCAGCCGGGAGCUAAGGCGAGGCCGAAAGGCGUAGUCGAUGCACAUACGGUGGAGAUUCCGUAGCCGCCAUUAAUUUAAACAGAGGGACACUUUCAAGGGGCAUGACCCGGGCGUUGGUAGACCCGGGCGUAAGGGACCGAAAAUUAGUAGGGAAGCAUGCUUUAAGGAAGGCGAGAAAAGCUCUGUGUAUAGAAGAUGGCGCCCGUACCGCAAACCGACACAGGUAGUCAGGAAGAGAAUUCUAAGGCCAACGGGAGAAGGGUAGUUAAGGAACUCGGCAAAUUGACCCCGUAACUUCGGAAUAAGGGGUGCUCACGAGAGUGAGCCGCAGUGAAUAGGUCCAGGCGACUGUUUAUCAAAAACACAGCUCUCUGCUAAAUCGAAAGAUGACGUAUAGGGGGUGACACCUGCCCGGUGCUGGAAGGUUAAGAGGAAGGGUGCAAGCUCUGAAUUGAAGCCCCAGUAAACGGCGGCCGUAACUAUAACGGUCCUAAGGUAGCGAAAUUCCUUGUCGGGUAAGUUCCGACCCGCACGAAUGGUGUAACGAUCUGGACACUGUCUCAACUACCCACCCGGCGAAAUUGUAGUACCGGUGAAGAUGCCGGUUACCCGCGGCAAGACGGAAAGACCCCAUGGAGCUUUACUGUAACUUGAUAUUGGGUUUCGGUAUUUUAUGUACAGGAUAGGUGGGAGACUAUGAAACUAAGGCGCCAGCCUUAGCGGAGUCGCCCUUGGGAUACCACUCUUAAAGUACUGAAAUUCUAACCUGCGGCCGUGAAUCCGGUCGGGGGACAUUGUCAGGCGGGCAGUUUGACUGGGGCGGUCGCCUCCAAAAGAGUAACGGAGGCGCUCAAAGGUUCGCUCAGCAUGGUCGGAAACCAUGCCUUAGAGUGUAAACGCAAAAGCGAGCCUAACUGCGAGGCUGACGGGCCGAGCAGUAACGAAAGUUGGAGUUAGUGAUCCGGCGGUAUGUGAAUGGAAAUGCCGUCGCUCAACGGAUAAAAGCUACCCUGGGGAUAACAGGCUGAUCUCCCCCAAGAGUCCACAUCGACGGGGAGGUU